rnacentral:rRNA from 1 species
UCGUGGCGUGAGUCGUCAGCUUAAUUGCGGUAACGAGCGAGACUCCGACUGUUAAAUAGUACCCGGUUCUUUUGACCAGGAGACUUCUUAACUGGAUUCGCGGCUUCAAGCCGCAAGAAAUGGAGCAAUAACA